UCAGUAACACGUCGGUAACCUACCCUCGGGAGGGGGAUAACCCCGGGAAACUGGGGCUAAUCCCCCAUAGGCCUGGGGUACUGGAAGGUCCCCAGGCCGAAAGGGGACCGUAAGGUCCCGCCCGAGGAUGGGCCGGCGGCCGAUUAGGUAGUUGGUGGGGUAACGGCCCACCAAGCCGAAGAUCGGUACGGGCCGUGAGAGCGGGAGCCCGGAGAUGGACACUGAGACACGGGUCCAGGCCCUACGGGGCGCAGCAGGCGCGAAACCUCCGCAAUGCGGGAAACCGCGACGGGGGGACCCCCAGUGCCGUGCCUCUGGCACGGCUUUUCCGGAGUGUAAAAAGCUCCGGGAAUAAGGGCUGGGCAAGGCCGGUGGCAGCCGCCGCGGUAAUACCGGCGGCCCGAGUGGUGGCCACUAUUAUUGGGCCUAAAGCGGCCGUAGCCGGGCCCGUAAGUCCCUGGCGAAAUCCCACGGCUCAACCGUGGGGCUCGCUGGGGAUACUGCGGGCCUUGGGACCGGGAGAGGCCGGGGGUACCCCCGGGGUAGGGGUGAAAUCCUAUAAUCCCGGGGGGACCGCCAGUGGCGAAGGCGCCCGGCUGGAACGGGUCCGACGGUGAGGGCCGAAGGCCAGGGGAGCGAACCGGAUUAGAUACCCGGGUAGUCCUGGCUGUAAAGGAUGCGGGCUAGGUGUCGGGCGAGCUUCGAGCUCGCCCGGUGCCGUAGGGAAGCCGUUAAGCCCGCCGCCUGGGGAGUACGGCCGCAAGGCUGAAACUUAAAGGAAUUGGCGGGGGAGCACUACAAGGGGUGGAGCGUGCGGUUUAAUUGGAUUCAACGCCGGGAACCUCACCGGGGGCGACGGCAGGAUGAAGGCCAGGCUGAAGGUCUUGCCGGACGCGCCGAGAGGAGGUGCAUGGCCGCCGUCAGCUCGUACCGUGAGGCGUCCACUUAAGUGUGGUAACGAGCGAGACCCGCGCCCCCAGUUGCCAGUCCCUCCCGCUGGGAGGGAGGCACUCUGGGGGGACUGCCGGCGAUAAGCCGGAGGAAGGGGCGGGCGACGGUAGGUCAGUAUGCCCCGAAACCCCCGGGCUACACGCGCGCUACAAUGGGCGGGACAAUGGGACCCGACCCCGAAAGGGGAAGGGAAUCCCCUAAACCCGCCCUCAGUUCGGAUCGCGGGCUGCAACUCGCCCGCGUGAAGCUGGAAUCCCUAGUACCCGCGCGUCAUCAUCGCGCGGCGAAUACGUCCCUGCUCCUUGCACACACCGCCCGUCACUCCACCCGAGCGGGGCCCGGGUGAGGCCCGAUCUCCUUCGGGAGGUCGGGUCGAGCCUGGGCUCCGUGAGGGGGGAGAAGUCGUAACAAGGUAGCC
rnacentral:rRNA from 1 species